GAUGAACGCUAGCUACAGGCUUAACACAUGCAAGUCGAACGGGGCAUAGAGAUAUGCCUAGUGGCGGACGGGUGAGUAACACGUGAGCAACCUAUCCUAUACAACGGGAUAACACAGAGAAAUUUGUGCUAAUACGGUAUAAGACCACACUCCGGCAUCGGAGAGGGGUAAAAGCUGAGGCGGUAUAGGAGGGGCUCGCGGCCCAUUAGCUAGUUGGAGAGGUAACGGCUCACCAAGGCGACGAUGGGUAGCCGAUCUGAGAGGAUGAACGGCCACAUUGGAACUGAGAAACGGUCCAAACUCCUACGGGAGGCAGCAGUGGGGAAUAUUGGGCAAUGGAGGCAACUCUGACCCAGCAACGCCGCGUGAAUGAAGAAGGUCUUCGGAUUGUAAAGUUCUUUAGCGAGGGACGAAAAGAAUGACGGUACCUCGAGAAUAAGCCACGACUAACUACGUGCCAGCAGCCGCCGUAAAAC
rnacentral:rRNA from 1 species